rnacentral:rRNA from 1 species
AUACAGAGGGUGCGAGCGUUAAUCGGAAUUACUGGGCGUAAAGCGCGCGUAGGCGGCUUAUUAAGUCAGAUGUGAAAUCCCCGGGCUCAACCUGGGAACUGCAUCUGAUACUGGUAAGCUAGAGUUUUCGAGAGGGAAGUAGAAUUUCAGGUGUAGCGGUGAAAUGCAUAGAGAUCUGAAGGAAUACCAGUGGCGAAGGCGACUUCCUGGCCAAAAACUGACGCUGAGGUGCGAAAGCGUGGGUAGCAAACGGGAUUAGAAACCCGAGUAGUCC